UGGAGACUGGUGUGAAUAUAGUGAGCGGGAAAAUAGUCUCCAAGGAUCUAUUUUCUUCUUAAGGUUUACAACUCCAAACACUUGACAAGCAGAGACAAAAUUGCAGCACUUAGAAUAAGGAAGUUCAUGAUGAGGGGUCAGGUGUGAGGCUAGUAGAAUGAAAGGGGUGGCCAAUAGAGGGAGAUGAAGGUAUGGAUGUCGAGAAGCGAGCCACGAUGGAACAUGUGGCAAAGGAGGAGGGCAACGUUGCGACGACAGAGAGUAUCAUGAGUGUGGACGAGUGAGUUAUGGAGAAAGGCUGAGACAGAUAAAGAGGGUCACACGGGGAGAAGAGGAGGUGGG
rnacentral:lncRNA from 1 species